rnacentral:lncRNA from 1 species
CGAAGAUCUUUGCACAGCCUUCACGGAGGUGUGGAAACACGAUUCUCCUGUCCUGUUGCUGGCUCUGCAGUAAUUAAAGCUUCAGUCUCUACUGCCCUCCUGUUAGUCUCUUGGUUUUAAUGAUACCGCUAACACAGAUACUUCUGAACAACUUUUCUGGCACACUCUUCCUUUCUGAAACGUGUGAUUCUCCCUCUGUGGUUUGGUGCACGGGAACUCGACAUAACUCAGGGUGGGAACUUGGCUACAAGGUAUGUUGGAAUCAUUAAAAUGUCUAUGCUGCUGGAAAAUGUGGGGGAAAACUGCCAGUCACUGAGCCUGGAGCUAAAGAAAUGGAUCUGAUGGUGGAGCUGCCCCUUGAGGGUCAGCAUCCAAAGGUUUUGGCCAAUCUUAUGGGUCCGCAGUUAACAUCAAAAGGUCCACUUCAAUAGGUAGGGCACAACCCAGAGGUACAGACAAUGCAUGAGCCUUGAAAUCAAGCAGCAGAGGAGCGCAUAGACUUUGAGUAGACUAGGCUGUUUGGAGCAGGACAAGUCCUGCUCCUAAUCUGGUGAGUAGGGAUUAAAAAGUCAAUCCCUACAGAAAGAGCAAGCAAAAAGAAGGCAGAAGGUCAAGUCCCAGCCAAAUGGGCCGAGGCUGUGAGAACAAGGUUGUGGUUGUGGCAGGGACAUAGAGGUCCAAUAAAAUAAACUGAGACAGAAGGCCA